rnacentral:rRNA from 1 species
GAUGAACGCUGGCGGCGUGCCUAAUACAUGCAAGUCGAGCGAACGGACGAGAAGCUUGCUUCUCUGAUGUUAGCGGCGGACGGGUGAGUAACACGUGGAUAACCUACCUAUAAGACUGGGAUAACUUCGGGAAACCGGAGCUAAUACCGGAUAAUAUUUUGAACCGCAUGGUUCAAAAGUGAAAGACGGUCUUGCUGUCACUUAUAGAUGGAUCCGCGCUGCAUUAGCUAGUUGGUAAGGUAACGGCUUACCAAGGCAACGAUGCAUAGCCGACCUGAGAGGGUGAUCGGCCACACUGGAACUGAGACACGGUCCAGACUCCUACGGGAGGCAGCAGUAGGGAAUCUUCCGCAAUGGGCGAAAGCCUGACGGAGCAACGCCGCGUGAGUGAUGAAGGUCUUCGGAUCGUAAAACUCUGUUAUUAGGGAAGAACAUAUGUGUAAGUAACUGUGCACAUCUUGACGGUACCUAAUCAGAAAGCCACGGCUAACUACGUGCCAGCAGCCGCGGUAAUACGUAGGUGGCAAGCGUUAUCCGGAAUUAUUGGGCGUAAAGCGCGCGUAGGCGGUUUUUUAAGUCUGAUGUGAAAGCCCACGGCUCAACCGUGGAGGGUCAUUGGAAACUGGAAAACUUGAGUGCAGAAGAGGAAAGUGGAAUUCCAUGUGUAGCGGUGAAAUGCGCAGAGAUAUGGAGGAACACCAGUGGCGAAGGCGACUUUCUGGUCUGUAACUGACGCUGAUGUGCGAAAGCGUGGGGAUCAAACAGGAUUAGAUACCCUGGUAGUCCACGCCGUAAACGAUGAGUGCUAAGUGUUAGGGGGUUUCCGCCCCUUAGUGCUGCAGCUAACGCAUUAAGCACUCCGCCUGGGGAGUACGACCGCAAGGUUGAAACUCAAAGGAAUUGACGGGGACCCGCACAAGCGGUGGAGCAUGUGGUUUAAUUCGAAGCAACGCGAAGAACCUUACCAAAUCUUGACAUCCUUUGACAACUCUAGAGAUAGAGCCUUCCCCUUCGGGGGACAAAGUGACAGGUGGUGCAUGGUUGUCGUCAGCUCGUGUCGUGAGAUGUUGGGUUAAGUCCCGCAACGAGCGCAACCCUUAAGCUUAGUUGCCAUCAUUAAGUUGGGCACUCUAAGUUGACUGCCGGUGACAAACCGGAGGAAGGUGGGGAUGGCGUCAAAUCAUCAUGCCCCUUAUGAUUUGGGCUACACACGUGCUACAAUGGACAAUACAAAGGGCAGCGAAACCGCGAGGUCAAGCAAAUCCCAUAAAGUUGUUCUCAGUUCGGAUUGUAGUCUGCAACUCGACUACAUGAAGCUGGAAUCGCUAGUAAUCGUAGAUCAGCAUGCUACGGUGAAUACGUUCCCGGGUCU